rnacentral:rRNA from 1 species
AUUGAACGCUGGCGGCAGGCCUAACACAUGCAAGUCGAGCGGAUGAAGGGAGCUUGCUCCUGGAUUCAGCGGCGGACGGGUGAGUAAUGCCUAGGAAUCUGCCUGGCAGUGGGGGAUAACGUCCGGAAACGGGCGCUAAUACCGCAUACGACCUGAGGGAGAAAGUGGGGGAUCUUCGGACCUCACGCUAUCAGAUGAGCCUAGGUCGGAUUAGCUAGUUGGUGGGGUAAAGGCCUACCAAGGCGACGAUCCGUAACUGGUCUGAGAGGAUGAUCAGUCACACUGGAACUGAGACGCGGUCCAGACUCCUACGGGAGGCAGCAGUGGGGAAUAUUGGACAAUGGGCGAAAGCCUGAUCCAGCCAUGCCGCGUGUGUGAAGAAGGUCUUCGGAUUGUAAAGCACUUUAAGUUGGGAGGAAGGGCAGUAAGUUGAUACCUUGCUGUUUUGACGUUACCAACAGAAUAAGCACCGGCUAACUUCGUG